rnacentral:rRNA from 1 species
AUUGAACGCUGGCGGCAGGCCUAACCCAUGCAAUUCGAACGAGUGGCGGACGGGUGAGUAAUGUCUGGGAAACUGCCUGAUGGCGGGGGAUAACUACUGGAAACGGUAGCUAAUACCGCAUACCAUCAGUGUUGCCCAGAUGGGCUUAGCUGGUUGGUGGGGUAACGGCUCACCAAGUCGACGAUCCCUAGCUGGUCUGAGAGGAUGACCAGCCACACUGGGACUGAGACACGGCCCAGACUCCUACGGGAGGCAGCAGUGGGGAAUAUUGCACAAUGGGCGCAACCCUGAUGCAGCCAUGCCGCGUGUAUGAAGAAGGCCUUCGGGUUGUAAAGUACUUUCAGCGGGGAGGCGUUACCCGCAGAAGAAGCACCGGCUAACUCCGUGCCAGCAGCCGCGGUAAUUC